rnacentral:rRNA from 1 species
CCGUUGAAGACUACAACGUUGAUAGGUUGGGUGUGGAAGUGUGGUAACACAUGAAGCUAACCAAUACUAAUUGCCCGUGAGGCUUGACCAUAUAACCCCAAGG